rnacentral:lncRNA from 1 species
UGGAUUAUGGAUACAAAAUAAUCUGGGUGGAUCUCUUCGGUUUUAAUAGAUGCUCAAUUUGGCUGAAGAUUGAUUUUUUGAUAUCAAAAUGGAUUGCAAAUGAUAAUUUUGGGCAUUUAAAGUUUGUGAUUGACAGAAGUAUUGCGUGUUGCUUGUGUAUAUAUAUAACACCUUACGAGCUUUUGUUUAGUCAUAUUAUCUGUUCACUCUUGACUUAUAUAUCUUUAUACUCUUGUUUUUUCUCUUGUUGUGUGAGGAUAAUCAUGUCUUAAGGACAAUGGCUUGUGAAGUCUGGGGGCCAGAAGAAACAUGCGCCAAGU